AAGCGGAGGAAAAGAAACCAACAGGGAUUGCCCUAGUAACGGCGAGUGAAGCGGCAACAGCUCAAAUUUGAAAUCUGGCCCCCGGGUCCGAGUUGUAAUUUGUAGAGGAUGCUUUUGGUGCGGUACCUUCCGAGUUCCCUGGAACGGGACGCCAUAGAGGGUGAGAGCCCCGUCUGGUUGGACGCCAAUCCUUUGUAAAGCUCCUUCGACGAGUCGAGUAGUUUGGGAAUGCUGCUCUAAAUGGGAGGUAUAUGUCUUCUAAAGCUAAAUAUUGGCCAGAGACCGAUAGCGCACAAGUAGAGUGAUCGAAAGAUGAAAAGCACUUUGAAAAGAGAGUUAAAAAGUACGUGAAAUUGUUGAAAGGGAAGCGCUCAUGACCAGACUUGGGCCCGGUUGAUCAUCCAGGGUUCUCCCUGGUGCACUCUUCCGGCCCAGGCCAGCAUCAGUUCGCUGUGGGGGAUAAAGGCUUCGGGAAUGUGGCUCCUCCGGGAGUGUUAUAGCCCGCUGCGUAAUACCCUGUGGCGGACUGAGGUUCGCGCAUCUGCAAGGAUGCUGGCGUAAUGGUCAUCAGCGACCCGUCUUGAAACACGGACCAAGGAGUCGUCUUCGUAUGCGAGUGUUCGGGUGUUAAACCCCUACGCGGAAUGAAAGUGAACGCAGGUGAGAGCUUCGGCGCAUCAUCGACCGAUCCUGAUGUUCUCGGAUGGAUUUGAGUAAGAGCAUACGGGGCCGGACCCGAAAGAAGGUGAACUAUGCCUGUAUAGGGUGAAGCCAGAGGAAACUCUGGUGGAGGCUCGCAGCGGUUCUGACGUGCAAAUCGAUCGUCAAAUAUGGGCAUGGGGGCGAAAGACUAAUCGAACC
rnacentral:rRNA from 1 species